GUUAUAUUAAAACCACAUUGUAUAAAUAUUAUAUCAUACAAGGAUAUAUUAUAUACCUUUAGUAUUAAUGUCUAAUAUUUUCCGUCUUAGUGACGUGAAAAUUCAUUUCACUUAUAAAAAUGUAUUAAAUUAUAUGCAUUUAUUUGCAUUGCAACAAGAUUCUACUAAUAUUAUUAAUAGGCAAAUUAUUGUGCAACGGAGUCCAGAUAAUCAGCUAGCAAUAAAGAGAACACGUAGGAGUCGAGUGGCGAUAAAACUAGGGAAGAUUGCAUCGCUAUAGGUCAAACUCCACCCCCCCGUGGGUGUAGCUCGUGUUAAUGUUAUAAAUAUACAUUAAAUCAUCCAAGAAACUUUUCUUCCUAAUCAUAAUACAUUCUAAAUGCGUGAUAUUCGGAUCAUAAAAAGGAUCGUUCAAAGAAACCAUCAUCCCAACGAUUAUUCUUGUAGAAAAUUGCUGAAGGAAAUUAAAGAUUAUAAUCUAUGCAUUCCCAAAAAUAAAAUAUUAAGAAGAUCGAUGAUACUGGUAGAAGCAAAAUUUACUCCGUUAAAAAUGCAUUUCGCAAGGAAGAAGGUAUCCAGUGUCUCAGAGGAGAAGUUGGGAAACACUGUUCUAUAAUAUAUUGUCGCUCAUUAACAACUUCUAAAGACCAGAUCGCGACGACUGGUUAACCAUCACCGACGCAAGACACGAAGCUAGAGAUUCGAAGCCGGAUCUCUCGUUCGUUGGGCGUGUUGCAACACAAUAGAGAAUCAUAAGCGUGCAGACAGUCCCUAUCGUUCAGAUUACCGUUUCGCGGAUCUUUUAAUUCCUCAUCGUUCUCCUAUCAAGGAAACUUGCAUUGUUAGAUAUAUAUAUAUAUAUUUUUCUUUACGACUACGAUGGGUGAAUAGGUUUAACCAAAUGAAUCUUAACGAUUUCGCAACGUUUUAUAUCGCAGCGAAGAGAGAAAAUGUCGACCAAUUAUAAUAUUCUAUUUUUUACAUUCAUUCGAUGUUUUAUUCGAUGAUGUAAUAAAAUUGCAAGCUGAUUAAAAUCGAGAUGUGAAUAAUGAUGCAGGAAUAAUUUUCUUGCUUGGCCAGUCGAUUGCCCUAAGGGAAUCGAAGGCACCUUUGAUCUCGUGGAAAUGGCAUUAUCUUAUGAAUAUGCAUAGGAUGUUUAGAAAAAUGUUAUUAUACAAGUUGAAGAUUAAUUUUUUUCUAAUUUUUUUUAUAUUUCUUUUUUUUUUUUGCUCAUUUUAUGUUAGAUAUAAAGGUAUGUUAUUACUUUGGCUAGAAGUCUCGCAAUGAUGUCGAAACUCCUCAGACUAAAGUGGUUUUAGCAGAGGUUGCACAGGUUCUGUCUCGACUUGUGAGAAUAUUUUUAUGACAGUACUCGCGAUAGUGUCUGCAAAUGACAAAGAGAUUGAUAAAAUUUAUCUAGUAUGCGUCGUAGUUAGACAUUGUGCACGCUUAUGCUAAUAGAAACCAUAUUUUUAUGCAAAUAUAAAUUUUUAGUUCAAUACUAAUUUGACAAUUUUGAAAGAACAAUAUCAAACAAAUAAAUCAUCAUAAUUUUGAUUUUGUAUGUAUUUUGAUGGACAUAGUUAGAUAGCGGGAAUAUAUGAAUUUAUAAUAAUUUAAUACAUAAAAUGUUAAAAAGGCGCAAAAUAUGCAAAACAAAGUGCACAUUAAAAUUUAAGUUCAAUGUGAAAUGUAAAUAUCCGUAGUUCUAGUUGUAACUACGCAAAUGGAGCAUAAAAAAUUCCAUGAAAUUAUCGUAAAAUUAUUUUCAGAAUUUUUUUUCUUUUUAAAUUCUUUUUAAAUUACACGUUUAAAAUUAAUCGAAACGGCAGCACGAGCAAAACAGAAAUCUUUCACGAUUUACGAAUACAUUCGCUGUAUCGAUAUUACGACGCAAGUUAAUGCGUCGUUUACAAAGAGACGCAAGAGAUCGAAGACCUCGAACAGCACGAUUUCGUCCUGUACCGGUGCAUCGGUUGUGCAGUAUAUGCCUCGAAUCAUCCGUGAGUACGUUCACCUCGCAAGGCCAAUUGCAUUGCAUUACAUCGACGUUGCCCUCCCCUCUCGGCCCCCUUUUAAGUUCUUCGCAGGCAUUCAAUUCUAAACGCCUCGUGAAUAAUAUCGUGUACUCGUGAAUGGCCGUCACGAAACGGCCACGUGGUGGACCAAACAAUGCGAAAACGACACAAUUAUUUCGUACUUAUCGCGUAUGUACUCGUGGGCCACGUUCCUCGUCGAUGAUUCCUCGUGUUUGUCGCUAGAAAUGAUCACGAAAUCACGUGCUUAAUAAAUAUUUGACAUAUUGUUAUUCCCUUUCCUUAUCGGAAUGUAACUCUGGUUGGUAUAUUCGUCAAUAGAGAUGUGCUCUGUUUCGAAAUCGAAUGCUUGGAAAUACUUGGACGUAUCGUUGUCCCCUUCUUUUCGACGCUUGUAUGGAAAUGCAUCUCUGGUUGUGAAUAUUAAUACACAUUGGUAUUAUAGGUAAGUUGGAUAAUAAGAGGAAAGUAGUUUUCACUAUUUCUAACUACUUUUUUCCUUCUUGUUUAUUAUUCAAUCAGACACAUAGAAUAUUUUUUUACACGUGACAAUUCUUGGUAUUUAUUAAAGUUUAUAUUUCCGUUUUAGAAAUUUUCUAGAAAUCAUCGGGGAAAUUGAUUUUUAUAUAUCGAUUGAUCAUUAAAGAAUUUUAUUAUAAAAUUUUAUUAUUAUAAUUUGAAAUAAUACUGAAGUAAACACGAAAUAUGUUUCAUCCCGAAUCGUCCAAUAUCUGAAUUAUUCUUUAAAAUAUUCAAGAUCGAUCGUUUCGCGAACAACAAUCACGAAUGUAAAGUUGGAUCGCAGGAUUCGCAUCGAUCGCCUUUGGUGAUGAAUCAUGAGUUAUCAUCUCUGAUCCUCCAUCGACAUGGUAACUUUAUGUAAAACUGGUCUAAUAACAGCAUAUCCGGGCUCGCUUCGUUUAAAAUCGCGCUUCUUAACACCGGGUUAACAUGUAACACUUAGCACGAUAACGUUAUACGCAGUCACGCGUGGGCCAUAGCGACGUUCCAUACUCGUUUCCUCGUGUCUCGAGGACGUUCCUGGAAAUUGUAAUCAGUUUCGAAGUACUGGUGGAGACUCGCCAUUUUACGUAAUUCGCUUGUUUCACGAAUUUUUAGCAAGCACGAAUAUUUUAAAACUUAUCGAAAAUGAAAUUUCACGUUGUUUAGGAUUAGCUAAACUGAUUAAACAAUAUAUUUAUUUUCGAUUCGAUUUUUAAUAAAAGAAAUCGUUAUUGAAAUAAAAGACCGAUCCACAUUUCCAAAUUUAAAUCUCUAUGCAAGAUCAGAGGAUUAAAAGCCGGGCUAAAAUUCACCAAUUCUCUUUCAUCGACCCUCCUCAAACUCUUUAACUAUAAUCCGUGAAACCGCGACCCCAUACUCGGAAAAAUCAACUUUAAUCAUCUCUUUUUUUUUCCCCCCCACCACUUGCACGGGGGUUAUCGAAACAACGGUUCCAACACCGCGACCGGAGGAGGGCAGAUUCCACGAUCCAAUAUAUCAUCCGACCGCUUCAUCUUCCUCUCUCUUUCUCUCUCACGCGCACUUCCAACUCUCCCCUUGUUUUUGCUCGUAGGCGUGAGAGCCACAUUGGCCACGGUGCUCACUCGCCGCCCCUAUUGAUUUUGGGAAAUUGAAUUCAACUUCUCCUCCCUGCGUGUUUUCGUCGAGCGGCCGUGGAACCGGGUCAUUGGGCCUCCCCGUUAUUACGUCUCUCAUCCUCGGCCGUCACGUCGCCAUUACGUAAACCUCGAUUGCAUCUACCGCAUUCUCAAACAAACACACGAAGAACGCCUUCUCCUCGGCCAGACAGACGUUCCUCUUGGCACGGAGGAGCUCGAAACACGCGUCUCCGUGUCUGGCUCCGCUUCUCCCCCCCUCCCCUCUCUGUCCCUCCUCCUGCAUCUCCACUCUGUCGCGCUCUCUCAUUCGCGUGUACUCAUUGUAGCAAUUGCACGCGCACCUCUCGACCUCUCGCUCUGGUGCUCGUGUACCGUCUAGGGGUGGGACAGAGAGGAGACGAAAUUUUGUAAUCUUAGGAAUAAAUAUUCGGAUAAUUCGUUGUGGAAGAAUAUAAAUUAAUCGAGGAUUUGUAAAUAAAUUUAAAUUAAUUUUUGAGGGUGUUGACGGGCUACUAUUAAGUUUUGGAACGUUAUGAUGAUGCAGUUUUGAAUUUUGUGCCUCGCAAGAGAAAAUAAUUCAAUUCAAUUGCAUUGUCCUUGGAAUGGAUACACGUCGUAUUUAAGAGAGUAAGUGUCUCAAGGUUUCGUCUCGUGAUAAGCGAUGCGCGAAUGAUUCUUCUUGUAAAUCUUCUCGGUUACAAUGAUGCUUGUUAUGAGGAAGUUGGGGAGUUCGUUGGGGAAGGAAGGCUCAGAGAUUCAAAAUGUGGGGUUGUGAUGAUUGAGAAGAUUAAGUGGUUGGUAAUUUUAUGAGGUAUCUUUGAGUAAGUUUGGAACCGAGCCAAAUUUUAGAUUUGAAUUUGUUCGGUGUUAUUCUGAUUGUCGUUGAAGAGGAAUUGGGUCAGAAAAGUGUUAGAUAAUGAAUCAGAGAAAUGUUUACGUAAUAAUUUUCUGAUUUUUACGAAUAUUUGGAAUUUAGAACAUUGAAACAAUAUACGUUAUUCCUUGGUAUAAUAUUUAGAAGAGAAUAAAAUUAAUUAAUUUGGAACAACAUGUAUCCAUUUCUCUUUUUUAAUUGUCAUUCUUUGUGUAUCUAUUUAUAUCUGAUAUAUAAGAUUGUGGAAUUAUCUCGGACAAAAAAAGAUCUUCUUUCACCUUCUUUCUUUCUUAUCUUCGAUAAUCGCAUCAAGAUAAUACGAAUAUAAAAUUGAAAUUGUACAAUUUUAUAUAGAAAAUAAUUACCGACGUAUCGUUCUAUUCUCAUCGUUAAUUCAUCUUUAAUUUCCAUAUAUAUUAAUCAUCAUGAUAAAAUUCAAAUAAGUAAUAUCAGAUCGGAUCAAAAUAUCCGCGUAUCAACGUUGGAUAUUACAGUCCUCGGUAAAAACGUUAUUAUUCAUGAAUCAUUAACACAUUCCAAAACGAAGAAUAUUUAUACAAAAAAAAAAAAUAAUCUUACCUCUGCAUGUAUUCUAUAAUCGCAAGAAAUACAUAAAUCGUUCUUCCUUGUAUAAUCAAUCAUCCAAUUUAUAAUCAACGUUCCCAGUCUCGAUUCUCAAUAGUUAUGUCAGAAAGCGUUUGUCGAUUACACGCAAUGAUUCGAUCUAUGACUAUGACUCAUAAAUAUGCGCAAAUGCAUGUCUCGCGGCCUAUUUGGAAGCUCGUUUGGAAAAACUCACGUGGAAGGCACGUGAAGUUAAUCGCGCGACCGAUUGGGAGGCGGAAGGCCACGAAGUCACGGCGCCUGGGAUUCGACCACGAUCCGAACGAGAGAGGAUCGAGAACAAGCGAGAGAGACAAAUGAGGCCUCGUUAAAUGGAACACAAUCGACGUGUACGUGAGCAGAAAAAGAAGAAGAGGAAGAAGAAGAAGAAGAAGAAGAAGAGGAGGAGAAGGAGGAACGUCUUUUCUAAAGAUACAUUUGGAUUCCAGGACGCAUGGCCUUAGCCUAGUUGCGGAUAGAGAUAGGAGAGAGAGAGCGAGGGAGGAGAGAGAGAGAGAGAGAGAGAAGAGGUUUUAAGUAAAUCGUCUAAUCGCGACUGCGGUACCUUGUAAGGACAAAUUCGUGUUUGUCGAGCGGAUGAAACUUGCCUCUUGGGAUGCGUUAAGGAAAUCUGGGAUCGAUUGGUUCUAUUGGAGGUAUUUUUUGCAAGCUUUUGAAAGGAAUUACGAGGAAUUUGGAAAGAUCUCUGUAGCUUCCUCUUUGUUGUGGUAUUAAAUUAUUCUUUUGAAGAUCUUCUUCAGAUAUAUACCUGUACCUGAUCAUCGAAUUCGAGUGACCGUCAAAAAGUUCAAAGCUCCAUAUAAUCUUCAUCAUAUUAACCGGAAAAUAAAAGAAUUAAUUUUUCAUUCUUACUCGAAUCUUAAUUCGAUCAAUCAAAGUGCUCACGAAAAUGAUUCAACGCGCGUGUACGCGCACAAUCUAUACCUACACAUGGAGCAUAAAGAACGAAAGGAAUUAGCGUUCAGCAACAGACAACAGGGAGUCUCAGGGAGCGUGGAUCGUUUCGUUGAGGCGGCCUGCCUAGACACUUGACAGACUUGUGCUUUGCACAAUAGUAGGAAGCGCUAAAAAUAAUCCGGCUCCACGACGUUCUGGCCUUGGCCAGCCUCGAUCCUCUCAACCUGAUGGUACCACCUUCUUCUUCUUCUUCUUCUGCUUCUUCUUCUUCUUCUUCUUCUCUUCCUCUUCCUCUUCCUCUCUCCGCGUCUUCUCUCCCAAUUGCUCUUCAUCUAACCUGUUCCAUUCUUCCAGACACGAUUCAACAGUACGUCACCCGUGGACGACCUAUCUUUUUUUUUUUUACUCUGCCGUUUCGUGCACGCACAGAAUGCCCACCCACACGUGCCGGAUAGGUUGUGUGGGCGUUGGAUUUUUCUUACGGGCAUGCUUUGAGCUAUGGAGUACCCCUCUGGCUCCCUCCUUUCCACGUGCUUCUCGUUACCCUCGCUCUGACAGGUCUCCCUGGCGACCCGUGCCUUUUUGGGAGGGAGGGAGGAGGGGAUGAGGUGAGAAGCUAUGAAACUGUAAUCCCAUAUUUGUGAGACGAUACGUAACUGUUAAGGUACAUCUCGGAGAAUAGAAGUUUUCCACGAGGAGAUUGAUGGUUGUUGUUUUUCCACGAUGUUUCUUCCAGUUUUUGUUUCUCACAGUGGUGGAAGUUGGUGUUUUUUUUUGAAACGUUUGAAUAGAAAAAUUGAUAUCGUAAUGGGUGGAAAUGGUUAAAUGAAUAGAUUUGAAUAGAAUGCUACAAAUGUUUUCUUCUUUUUGGGAACAUCGUUUUGGGAAAUUUUACAUUUAGGAAUAUUAAAUUCAGGGUGUUUAAAGAUAAAUUAUUGAAAUUAUUACAAAUUAUUUUUUUUGAAUUGUAAUUAUAAUUCAUUAAUUAUGAAUUUUACAAGGCAAGAUAAUACUGAAGAGGAAUGAAAAGAUGGAAUGAGAAGUGUAUUAACUUUAUUUUCCUUAAUUUUGUUUGAAAAAUAUUUUAAUAAAGAGUUUCGAACAAUCAAUCAUUCACGUUUCUAGGAUAUUAAAAAAAUUUUAACUACGUGUCCGUUCCGGAAAUAAUAUCAAUCUCAUAUGACAAAAUUCUAUAAAAAUUUCUAUGAAAACUUGUACGAUUUCACACACGUGAUUUGCCUCGAAACAGAAGGAAAACUAUAAUAUGUGAUAUUAAAGAAGUUUACGAAACAGAUUCGUAAUAAAACGAUAUACUUUGGAAUCCACCAUAUGCUCAGAUAGUAAAAUCUUACGAAACUUUAGAAGAAUAGUGGCUGGAUAAUAUUUAUUGCAAACUAUGGAAGAAAAAUAAUCCUUAUCAUUUUCAAAGAAACAAAAAAGACUCUUCAAAUAGGAUCAAACCGACGAACAUAGACAAAAUUUAUAACGGUAUAAAACUUACACCAUGAUAAUUAAUAGAUAUUGAAUAAUUGUUUCUUUUUAUGAUUAAAGACAACUAAAUGGAUUUAUAAUAUUUAUUAAAGUUAAACAUUUCAACAACUAUUACCUUUUAAAUAUGCACAAUAAUUUUCAAAUGUUAAUUCUAUUAAUUUAAAAUUGAUAGAUCCAUAAAGUUGGGGCCCAGUCUGUAAAAUACACGUAUGCACGAUUAAGACUACAUAUAAAAACGCAUAACUCGUUACGCUCAGAAACUUUCACCAAACUCCAGAAUUUAUUCCUUGCAAGAUAAAUGUGCGAACUUUUACAUGCUCUCCUGUUAUACGUGUUAUAACAAUUACAACGAAGAAAAAGUAAAUAAGAAACCCAUUUUCAUCACGACCCCAUCCCAUGGGCACAAAGGGGCUGACUUAUGUCUGCGAAAAGGGAGAGGCAUUCGCUCGAUAUCUCGAUCGAUGUCGAAGGGAUCUUGCACGCUCAUCGACAGUCGGCGUCGAGACGUCCGUGGAGAACGUGGAUGACGUACGACAUGGACGAAAUGACAGCAACCACCGGGUCAUACGGUGAUCCACGCCGCAUUCUGCACGCUCGGUUGCAUCUAGAUGCUUAUCGUUACCCAUUGUUACCCCGUCUCGUUUCCUUCUCUUUGUUCUCCGCGCCUCGUCCAACACCGGUGACGCACUUAAUAAAUAGAUAAUUACGUUGCAGAAUGCGACUCUGCAUUGUCCGCGAGGACCUAUUUUUAAAUCGCGAUACACUCUUCUUCUAUUUUUCGAACACGAAGCCUUGGGAUUCUCGAGCUCUGCCAUUGUUGGGACGCGAUAUUUCGUUUCUAUCUCUUAAAUGCGCGGAUUCGAGGUAAGAUCGAAAAUAUUAUCUGCAAGUGGACAUUGAACGUCUGACAAUAAUUCGAUCCAAUUUAAUAAUAUAUCGUGUAUCCAUUGUUUCAGGAUAAGAUUGUCGAGAGAACGCGACGAUACGGAAUUACUCACGGAUUAAAAAUAAAAAUCUUGUCGCCGGAAUUACUCAAAUUGUAAAUAUUUACAGUUACAAAAAAAGAAGCCUCGAGUGUGUCUAUCCCAGACACAUGUGCUCCAAUGUGUAAUAACGACACGUGUAAAUAUAUCGAGACAGAUUCAAUAUCCUUCGCGUAACCGCGCCGGUAAAAUCUUCAGAAGCGAAUCCGUAUUCGAACUGUUUCUCUCCUUUUGAAAAAAAGAGUAUCGAUCAUUCGUCGUCUCAUCUGUAACCGCGUGUCGCGUCGCGCCACUGGACAGAAGGCACGCUCCUCAAACUUCACCUCCUUGCCCUCCCCUCGCGGCGAUAAAACGAGAUGGUGGCAAACUCGUUCCUUGUGCCCUGGCUGCCAGAUAAACUAGGAGUCUCGUUAAGAUCGACGAUACGACGAUUUCGACGACAACUACGGAGCCGUCUCUCGGUGAAGAGCGAUCGUUAAGGAUCCCCUAACGAGGAGCCCCGUGCAACCAGAGGACAAUAGAGGAAGAAGAGAGAGAGAAUCUCGUCCAGCCUCUCUAUAUACCGACGUGUGCUCCCUCCCUUUGGAUCGUGCACACCACACGAUUUUCAUCUUGCCUUACCUCGCCACGCUUAUCCUUGCCUCUCCUCGUCCCUCCUUUUCAUCAUUCUCGUCAAUGCACCACCAUCUCGUCUAUGUAUUAACGAGGAAACGACGGAAUCGCGACACGAUUCCUUCCUUCCUUCCUUCCUCGAAUUACCGAGCUACGUGUCACGAUUCGUUUGGCUAGGGAUGAUCGCGAUAUCGGGUUUUGAUUUUUCACGAAGGAUCUUUUAAUGGAAGGACGAGUUGAAAUAUCCGGAGAAGUGAGAGAAAGCGAACCGUCGAUUCCUUGGAGACUUGUCUUUUUCUUUUCUGUUCACGAAGAAGACGAAGAGAUUUCGUGGUCCAAAAAAUAUGUCGUUAAGUAUUUGAUGUAUAAGAAGUUAUCAAUCUUGCCACGAUUUCUUUUCGUUGUGGCUGUCUUUUGAUGGAUUAUUCCCUUUUUUAAUUAUUAUUCUUCUUCUCUAAUUUCACAUUUCUCUAUCAAGGGUAAUGAUGCGUGUAUAUUUUACAUCAGGAUGAUUUAUUACAAGUCGUUAUAUUAAAUAUUGUUAUUGAAUUAGCACGAUUAGCAAAAAUAUUACGAAACGAAUGAAAAAGGGAUUUCAUUUUUUCUGCACAUUUCUCACGAAUCGACGAUGAUUCUGAAGUCCAGAAAUUCCAGAAUCGGUAACAAGCGAGACGGAAAAUCGUCCUUGGUCCGUUAGAUCUCGUGCAGGCCGAAAGGUUAACCUCGAAAUCAACGACGCGUGGAGCAUCCUCUUCGUCUUCUAUUUUCUCCGCUUUUCAGCCUCUCUUCCUUCGCCUCGACCGGUUAACGGGACUAGGCAUCAAUUAGACAAGCGAAUCUUCCCGUGGAUUCCUCCAUUUUCUCUUUUGAUUCGUCCACGAUUCGCACGUUUCAUUGGUCUUUUGGUAUUUUUAAUUAAUUAUCCAUUCUCAAGAGAAUACACGCAAAGUGUAUUUUGUUUUUGACUCGUGUCCAUGGAAUUGAAUUUUUUAAUUAUUGUUGUGAAAUCUUCGAUUCUUAUAUUAUUAAG